UACGUAUGGUGCGAGCGUUGUCCGGAAUUAUUGGGCGUAAAGGGUACGUAGGCGGUUUAUUAAGUCAGAUGUUAAAGCGUGAGGCUCAACCUCAUAAAGCAUUUGAAACUAAUAGACUUGAGUAGUGGAGAGGAAAGUGGAAUUCCUAGUGUAGCGGUGAAAUGCGUAGAUAUUAGGAGGAAUACCAGUUGCGAAGGCGACUUUCUGGACACAAACUGACGCUGAGGUACGAAAGCGUGGGGAGCAAACAGG
rnacentral:rRNA from 1 species